rnacentral:sRNA from 1 species
GCUGGGUGUGGUGGUGUACACCUGUAAUCCCACUUACUUGAGAGGCUGAGGCUGGAAGGUCACAAGUUCUAGGCUAGUUUCAGUCACUU